GCAGUAGUGGUUCAGUGGUAGAAUUCUUGUCUGCUAUUGCUUUUUCUGUUUUUAGUUGCUAUGAGUUGGAAUUGACUCAAUGGUAUUUUUUUUUUUUUUUUUUUUAAUGCAGGGGACCCAGGUUCAAUUCCUGGCCAAUGCA
rnacentral:tRNA from 1 species